CAUACAUCAUUUUGUUAUUAUAUUUUAACAUAAAAUAUUAGUUAAAAUGUCCGCAUACGAGGUAGUUAAUGUUAGUCGCUUAGUGUUGAAAGGAGAAAAAAAUAAAAAAAACAAAAAGCAGAAAAAGGAAAAACAACAUAGGGAAACUUCAGUUAAGAAGCGCAAGAUUCAAGUUGAUGAAGAAGCUCUGAAGUUUGGAGGAUGGUGGAAAACUACAUUGACCUCGGAAAUAACCGGCACUGUAGCCAUACAAUUUGGUGAACGGUCUUUUGUAAAAGCUUUAGAUAACGGCUUAUUUACAUUAGGGCCGCCACAUCGCGACGGCGAUGGACCGGAUCCUGAAGAAAUAUUUACCGCUUUCCCGAUUAAUGAUCGAAAAGUCUCAUUUAAAUCCGGCUAUGGUAAAUAUAUGAAAGUAGAGAAAGAUGGAAUGGUCACUGGGCGAUCAGAAGCCGUUGGUAGCAUGGAGCAAUGGGAGCCAGUUUUUCAGGAUGGUAAAAUGGCUCUGCUUUCAGAAUUGAGCUUCUUCAUGUCAAUCGAUCCGGAAGAUGAUGCAUGCGUUGCUUUACGUAAGAAAGUUACAGAUUUAGAAAUAUGUCAAGUCAGAUGUAAUGCAGCGCGCGAAGCUAUCGUAGAAGAAGAACCUAAGGAAGAAAAGGGCGAUCUAACUGAAGUGGAAAAGAAUUAUGUAAAAAAGUUUCAGAAAUUCCAAGAUAAAAAAUUAAGAAUUAAUACAGAUGACGUUAAAGAAUUGGAAAUGGCAAAAGACAAGGGCAUUUUACAUGAAGCUUUGCUAGAUCGUCGCAGUAAAAUGAAAGCGGACCGCUACUGUAAAUAAUUGUUGUUACAAAAAAAGUGAAAUGAACUUUUACCAAGACUUGGAAAUUUUAAAAUAUAUACAUGAUACAAGAUAUUAAGCAAAUUUGUAUGAAAGAUGCACAUUAAUUACGUUCCUCCAAAACGCGCUUCAUAUUCUUAAAAAAGGUUUAAAAAAAAAGAACGAAAAUUAAAUUUCACGUAUGCAUUCAAAUAUAUAUAAAUCCUGGUCAUAGAACUUCAAAAAAUUCUUAAUAUGUGUAUUUGCAUAUAGGAAACAUUUAAUCAAUAUUUUAUUGACAAAUUCAACACAAUGGAUGAAAUGCAAAACUACGAACUGACUAUAGUAUAGUUUAAGCAACAGUUUCAAGGAGGCCAUUGGCACUGCCGGAAUGCCAUUGUUAUCCUUCUACAAUCGUAAACUAGAUGCAGAAACAUUAUGGGUACAUUAUCAAUUUUUUGAUUUGGAUAUACGAAGCUCACAUAUAGGGCACAUAAUGUCAGCAAAUGCAUCUCCAUGGCUAUAAACAAAUUUACGACUUCGAGAUAGAAUUUAGAUGGACAAUGUCGCUACAUAGAAUCAUCCAACACAGAUUAUCUGCAUCUUUCUAACUCACACUAUUUGAAGCAGUCAUCAUUUAGAUUUUGAAAAACUGAAAAAUAAUUUACUUUUGAAAUAAAAAUGAACGUGGACAUUGGAAACCCCUUUCUUCUACCCAGGAUUAAGGAAGGACAACUUAUUAAUUUUACAGUUAUAAUAUAGGCAUGGCGUCCGAUAAGUUUUUUCCCCGCCACUCACCGUAUGACCUAAAGUCGGCUAUGGUUGUAAACAUGCAGUAAUGUUCGUUUAUGGCAUCGAUUUCAGUCGUCUCACAGCUCUUUCAAAGUACGUUCCAUUGGUGACAAAAUCUCUUUUAAAAUCUUUUUCUACGCCAUCCAAGAUGGAUAGACAAAGGAAGCAUUUGCGGAAUGUUGGGUUUCAUUGCUCUAAAAAAAGGUAGCAGUUCAAAGGGCCCUGCAGAAGGAGGUUUGAUUUGCAAGAUCGCAACCGGCGCCCAGCUCGGACGCCCGAUAUGGACCCCAUUAAGCAUAUGCUCACUGAAAAUUCGCGAUAUAGCUGACGUCACUAGCGUUUCUAGAGCAACGGUACGGACAUGCCACCUCGUGAUUUCACAUCCAAAAAAAAAAAAGAAAAAAAGAAACUUAUAGGAAACAGCAGGUCAAGUUCACUCAUUAUUAUUUGCUUGGAGCUCUUGCAAGAUGUAGCGCAAAAACGUAAAAGUUAGCGCAAUUCGUUUACAAAGUGUUUAAAGAUUAAGCAAACAUGGGAGAGGACAAAACACAGUCCUGGGAGAAAAUUACAAAUAUUUUUCAUAUAAUUUUGUAGACUGACCCUAAACUACGAAAAA